rnacentral:rRNA from 1 species
GACGAACGCUGGCGGCGUGCUUAACACAUGCAAGUCGAACGGAAAGGCCCUGCUUUUGUGGGGUGCUCGAGUGGCGAACGGGUGAGUAACACGUGAGUAACCUGCCCUUGACUUUGGGAUAACUUCAGGAAACUGGGGCUAAUACCGGAUAGGAGCUCCUGCUGCAUGGUGGGGGUUGGAAAGUUUCGGCGGUUGGGGAUGGACUCGCGGCUUAUCAGCUUGUUGGUGGGGUAGUGGCUUACCAAGGCUUUGACGGGUAGCCGGCCUGAGAGGGUGACCGGCCACAUUGGGACUGUGAUACGGCCCAGACUCGUACGGGAGGCAGCAGUGGGGAAUAUUGCACGAUGGGCGGAAGCCUGAUGCAGCAACGCCGCGUGCGGGAUGACGGCCUUCGGGUUGUAAACCGCUUUCGCCUGUGACGAAGCGUGAGUGACGGUAAUGGGUAAAGAAGCACCGGCUAACUACGUG